GUGGGUGUAGCGCAGUUGGUUAGAGCGUCAGAUUGUGGAUCUGAAGGUCAUGGGUUCAAAUCCCAUUAUCCACC
rnacentral:tRNA from 1 species